rnacentral:lncRNA from 1 species
AGUGGCCGGCAGAGAGGCUAUGGGCAAGAGAGAGAACACAUGGCUCAGAGCACAUGGGCAAAUACAGCGCAUAUGGUGGCUGAAUUACAAAGCCAUUGCUGGAGAAGUGGAAACAGUGUGAGGAAUUUGAAAAGCCUGCUGCACGGUGUUGGCUCUUUUUAUUCCAGGAGGAGCCUUAGGUGCAGCAGCGUGGGUGCUUAACAAACAGUGGGUCUUUCUCAGGACACAUGGUGCUGGGAGGAAGGCUGAGAGUCUAGGAAUGGAGAAAACCAUGAUGGAGGCCCGAGCCAUUUUGCAGUACAUGUUCUUCACACUCAGGAAUGACUUCCCACAGCAGUGUCUCCAGACCUCUACUCAGCCUCUGUCGAGAAAGAAAAAAUUGGAGUGUUGCAAUCAAACUUGACAGAUAAAAAUGUUAAGUUCUACAUUAAAAAAAUUCUUCAGAG